rnacentral:sRNA from 1 species
CUUAAUCAGUGCUUGAGCCUUCCUGAUGAAAUUAUGGGGUUGAAGCCUGAGGUCACUGGAACUUAUGUCACCAGGGCAUACCUCAGUAAUGUAUGUGUUGCUGAAGAGUUACACAGAAAUGGGUUGGGUUAUGCACUUCUUGAAGUGUCAAAGUUAGUAGCCUAUGAUUGUGUUAAGAAUCCAAAGAAGGCUUAACUGCUACGUUGAUGUUGCUAUCGUUUCUCCUAUCUUUAAAAAGAUCAAUUGAUGUGCACAUACGAAGAAUGCUAACAGUAUAUUCCCAACUACAGUUCUU